rnacentral:rRNA from 1 species
ACUCCACAUACGCAUCCUUUGCUGAGGAUACGGUUAACGGAGCGAAAGCGACGUUCAACCGCAAAAGAAGCAGAGGGGGCUUAGUGGUGGGGUGACUGCGUACCUUUUGUAUAAUGGGUCAGCGACUUAUAUUCUGUAGCAAGGUUAACCGAAUAGGGGAGCCGGAGGGAAACCGAGUCUUAAUUGGGCGUUAAGUUGCAGGGUAUAGACCCGAAACCCGGUGAUCUAGCCAUGGGCAGGUUGAAGGUUGGGUAACACUAACUGGAGGACCGAACCGACUAAUGUUGAAAAAUUAGCGGAUGACCUGUGGCUGGGGGUGAAAGGCCAAUCAAACCGGGAGAUAGCUGGUUCUCCCCGAAAGCUAUUUAGGUAGCGCCUCGUGAAUUCAUCUCCGGGGGUAGAGCACUGUUUCGGCUAGGGGGCCAUCCCGGCUUACCAACCCGAUGCAAACUGCGAAUACCGGAGAAUGUUAUCACGGGAGACACACGGCGGGUGCUAACGUCCGUCGUGAAGAGGGAAACAACCCAGACCGCCAGCUAAGGUCCCAAAGUCAUGGUUAAGUGGGAAACGAUGUGGGAAGGCCCAGACAGCCAGGAUGUUGGCUUAGAAGCAGCCAUCAUUUAAAGAAAGCGUAAUAGCUCACUGGUCGAGUCGGCCUGCGCGGAAGAUGUAACGGGGCUAAACCAUG